GUUACUUUGGCAGAUUAGUGCAAUAGAUUUAGAAUCUUUAAAUGUAUUUAUACAAGUAAUA
rnacentral:tRNA from 1 species